UUGAAGUUCCUGAACCUGUACUCCCUGGAACGCAGGCGGGAGAGAUACAUGAUUAUAUACACCUGGAAAAUCCUAGAGGGACUAGUACCGAACUUGCACACGAAACUCACUCACAACGAAAGCAAAAGACUUGGCAGACGAUGAAACAUCCCCCCAAUGAAAAGCAGGGGUGUCACUAGCACGUUAAGAGACAACACAAUGUGUCAGGGGCCCCAGGACUGUUCAACUGCCUCCCAGCAUACAUAAGGGGGAUUACCAAUAGAUCCCUGGCUGUCUUCAAGCUGGCACUGGACAAGCACCUAAAGUUGGUCCCUGACCAGCCGGGCUGUGGCUUGUACGUUGAGUUGUGUGCAGCCAGCAAUAACAGCCUGGUUGAUCAGGCUCUGAUCCACCAUGAGGCCUGGUCGCAGACCGGGCCACGGGGGCGUUGACCCCCGGAACUCUCUCCAGGGAGAGCAACUGUAUGGGAAUGAUAUGUUAAACAGAUAUGGAAGCAACUCAGAAAUGUGCAUCAUAACAUUAUGAAGAAUAUUCUGCAGUAUGGGCGCCUAGCCGUAGCUAAACGAUGUUACCCCAUACCCCGAGGCAUCAGGUUUGUUUUCAAAGUUAUUUCAUCAAAUCCUGCCACAUGCAGUAGAAAACAAAAGAGAUUUGAAAUGCUUAACAAUUCGCAAACAGGCGAAAUUAUUUACAUUGUUUCUACGUCCAUAGCAGGACUUAAACCUGCAAACUCUGUAUCAGAGUCUACUCUGAUACAGCCCAUUGUAUAUUCUAAACUUGUUAAAUCAUCCAGAACUAAAUGUGCACUUGUUUUCCAGCUGUCCCUCCUCUUCACGCACUGUUUUAUCGUAUAAUACGGAUUUUUUCCUAAUAAUAAAUCA